GGGCCGGUCGUCUAGCCUGGUUAGGACAUUGCCCUUACGAGGCAAAGGUCGCAGGUUCAAGUCCUGCCCGGCCCA
rnacentral:tRNA from 1 species